GACGAACGCUGGCGGCGUGCUUAACACAUGCAAGUCGAACGGACAGGCCCUGCUUUUGUGGGGUGCUCGAGUGGCGAACGGGUGAGUAACACGUGAGUAACCUGCCCUUGACUUUGGGAUAACUUCAGGAAACUGGGGCUAAUACCGGAUAGGAGCUCCUGCUGCAUGGUGGGGGUUGGAAAGUUUCGGCGGUUGGGGAUGGACUCGCGGCUUAUCAGCUUGUUGGGGGGGUAGUGGCUUACCAAGGGUUUGACGGGUAGCCGGCCUGGGAGGGUGACCGGCCACAUUGGGACUGAGAUACGGCCCAGACUCCUACGGGAGGCAGCAGUGGGGAAUAUUGCACAGUGGGCGGAAGCCUGAUGCAGCAACGCCGCGUGCGGGAUGACGGCCUUCGGGUUGUAAACCGCUUUCGCCUGUGACGAAGCGUGAGUGACGGUAAUGGGUAAAGAAGCACCGGCUAACUACGUG
rnacentral:rRNA from 1 species